rnacentral:rRNA from 1 species
AGUCGAACGAUGAAAUCACUUCGGUGGUGGAUUAGUGGCGAACGGGUGAGUAACACGUGGGCAAUCUGCCCUUCACUCUGGGACAAGCCCUGGAAACGGGGUCUAAUACCGGAUAACACUCUGUCCCGCAUGGGACGGGGUUGAAAGCUCCGGCGGUGAAGGAUGAGCCCGCGGCCUAUCAGCUUGUUGGUGGGGUAAUGGCCUACCAAGGCGACGACGGGUAGCCGGCCUGAGAGGGCGACCGGCCACACUGGGACUGAGACACGGCCCAGACUCCUACGGGAGGCAGCAGUGGGGAAUAUUGCACAAUGGGCGAAAGCCUGAUGCAGCGACGCCGCGUGAGGGAUGACGGCCUUCGGGUUGUAAACCUCUUUCAGCAGGGAAGAAGCGAAAGUGACGGUACCUGCAGAAGAAGCGCCGGCUAACUACGUGCCAGCAGCCGCGGUAAUACGUAGGGCGCAAGCGUUGUCCGGAAUUAUUGGGCGUAAAGAGCUCGUAGGCGGCUUGUCACGUCGGAUGUGAAAGCCCGGGGCUUAACCCCGGGUCUGCAUUCGAUACGGGCUAGCUAGAGUGUGGUAGGGGAGAUCGGAAUUCCUGGUGUAGCGGUGAAAUGCGCAGAUAUCAGGAGGAACACCGGUGGCGAAGGCGGAUCUCUGGGCCAUUACUGACGCUGAGGAGCGAAAGCGUGGGGAGCGAACAGGAUUAGAUACCCUGGUAGUCCACGCCGUAAACGUUGGGAACUAGGUGUUGGCGACAUUCCACGUCGUCGGUGCCGC